rnacentral:rRNA from 1 species
CAAUAGCGUAUAUUAAAGUUGUUGCAGUUAGAACGCUCGUAGUCGGAUUUCGGGGCGGGCCGACCGGUCUGCCGAUGGGUACGCACUGGUCGGCGCGUCCUUCCUUCCGGAGACCGUCCCUACUCUUAACUGAGCGGGGGCGGGAGACGGGACUUUUACUUUGAAAAAAUCAGAGUGUUUCAAGCAGGCAGCUCGCUCUUGCAUGGAUUAGCAUGGGAUAAUGAAAUAGGACUUUGGUGCUAUUUUGUUGGUUUCGAACACCGAAGUAAUGAUGAGAAGGGACAGUCAGGGGCACUCGUAUUCCGCCGAGAGAGGUGAAAUUCUCAGACCAGCGGAAGACGAACCACUGCGAAAGCAUUUGCCAGGGAUGUUUUCACUG